UAGGGAAUCUUCGGCAAUGGACGGAAGUCUGACCGAGCAACGCCGCGUGAGUGAGGAAGGUCUUCGGAUCGUAAAGCUCUGUUGCCAGGGAAGAAGAGCCUGGGGAGGGAAUGCCCCGGGAUUGACGGUACCUGAGAAGAAAGCCCCGGCUAACUACGUGCCAGCAGCCGCGGUAAUACGUAGGGGGCAAGCGUUGUCCGGAAUUAUUGGGCGUAAAGCGCGCGCAGGCGGUCCUUUAAGUCUUGUGUUUAAGACCGGGGCUCAACCCUGGAACGCAUGGGAAACUGGGGGACUGGAGUGCAGGAGAGGAAAGCGGAAUUCCACGUGUAGCGGUGAAAUGCGUAGAGAUGUGGAGGAACACCAGUGGCGAAGGCGGCUUUCUGGCCUGUAACUGACGCUGAGGCGCGAAAGCGUGGGGAGCAAACAGG
rnacentral:rRNA from 1 species